AGAAAGAAGAAAGAAGAAGAAGAAAACAUUUCCAUCAUAUUUGUUUCUAGCAAAGCUAAAGAAAGAACUUUAUCAGUUCAAGAGCUACAACAGACUUGAAAAUCAGUUUUGGAAAGCAGGCCACCCUCUGAAUUCAAGGAAUCAGUACAGAGAAGACAGUUUUGAAUGCACAGCAAAAUCUUAUAUGCAGAAGUAUUUUAAAAACAAGAUGGCAAUGUAUCUAGGCACAAAUUUCAUAAAUAUAUUCUAGAUUCUCUGGGUUGGUAUGCAUAAGGAGAAUUCCUCAGUAAAGUUUUUAAUCUUGGAAUCUACAACUCUGAAUGGAAGAGUGGUUUCCCCCUGAGUCAUUAUUACAUACUGUAGGUAUACAAAGAAAUAUUAGUUUUCCGACAAGUAUAUUCAGUUUUGAGCAACACCCAACUGCCAUGCUGGUAGCAGGCUAAUAACGCCUUUGGAAUAUUAAAAGUAAAUGCAAUGACAUUUUAUGUCGAAAUCAAGGAAUGUUGAGAAGUAUAUAAACUUCAAGAUGAACAUAACUGCCUACAUUGAUUUAGAACUUUUGACUUUGUUCUUGGCACAUACUUAGGUCAAAGCAGAGGUAAUGGGAUUUGUUAUGAAUGUGUCUCCUCACAUGACAAAUAUGUUGCUGCCUAAAAUGUUGUAUUUCAAUGUGGAUUUUGUUGGGAGCGAGGGCACAUAAAUGUUAACUGUCUUGACAGGCAUCCUCAUUUGGAAGGUUUUUCAACUUGCUAACAUCACAAAUGGUACCAAAUAUAAAUAAGUAUGACAGUAUAAAGCCUUUUCAGCUGAGUUUUAUAAGUCCUAUGUCAAAAUAAUUACUAAUAGAAUGGCUCAUUUAGAGCUAAUUUAUCUGUGGUCUUUGAAAACUGCUACAGAGAAAAAGAAUUACACAAAUCAGCUUAAUUUUACUUAUAAUCAAAUAAUGUUGAAUAGAUGUGGUCUCGAGAUGCACAGAUUCAACACAUUAAGAUAUAAAUCAGAUAUUUCCCACAUGUGUACUUGAUCAGGUUUAUAGAAAACUUUCAAAAGAUUAUCUUCUCAUUUAUGCCUAUUGUUGUAAAAAUGCAAUAAAUCUUUAAAUAUCUAACUGGAAAUGUAGUACCUCAUAAUAAAUUGAAUUUUGUGUUAUUCCAUCAAAACCUCUCUCUUUCCCUCUUUUCUCUGGAUAUUGUUUUAUGUAUACCUCUCUCCUUCAUCAUUGUCAAUCUGCUUAAAUUUCCCCAUUUUCCCUACUCUUGUACUCUCCCUCCCUCUUCAUUUGUCUUCUCUACCCCUUUCUCUCCUGUUUGUUCAGCUUUAGUCAUUACUGAAAAAAGAUUUGUGUUUUCUAUUUUUAAUUAUAAAAGAAGAUGAAAUAAAUUAAGGAUUAAAAAUAAAACCGAAUUGAAUGAUAGGUGGUCUUGGUCUUCUUUUUACAACCUUUCAUAAAUUCUUUUUCUGCUCUUGACAGAAUAUACUUUCCUGCCUCUGGUUUAAAACCAUGUCCAAAACCAUGUGCUUACAUCUAAUACAAACCACGCUAUUUGCAUUAGAUGUGAGCACAAAGAGUAAGUACGUUUAAUGGAGGAAAUAAAUGGAAAAGGAGCUAUAGGGAUUACAUACUAUAGAGUAUUCUCUUUUUAUUGAGAAAGCCUCUUGAAAAAUCAGGAUGUUUUAAAAGCAUAGUUCAAAAUUUAAAAAAUGAUAUCAAUUUAAAUCUAUUCAGAUUUUGUUAAGUAACUUGUAUAUGCUUAUUAGUAAAAAUUAUUUUAAGCAGUUUACAAGAAAAGCUCAUAUACUUUUUCUUUAAAUUCGCUCACUUUAACUUUUACUUUCAUAUUAGUAAAUAACAUUUGUGGGGUGAUGGGUUUGAUGUGAUUAAUAUGUAUGUAUAUAUGUAUAUCUAUCUAUGUAUAUUUAUAAUAUUGGUCCACAUAUCACCUGAAAUCAUUUCAUGGUAUGAGUUCUGAAUUUAGGUUAGGGAAAUAAAAUAUCUCAGUUCUGCUUAGAGAAAUCAAAUAAUUUCAUUACAGAUUAUUAUAUAGUCAAAGCAGCAUUAAUUAAAGAGUUAUAAUUUUGAGUAUUAGAAAUAAUUUUUACCAGGGUUUUCCUAGAUUUUUUUUAUUUGCAAAGUAGUAUGUUACACAGCCUUUAUUGUACUUGAUUAAACUCACACCAGGACAGGUUAUCUGGCUCCUACCAGAGUUCUAUCAACAGCCUCUCAUUCUAAGAACAGACCUAUGAUGUCAGCCCUUAAUCCAUCUGCCUCCCCACCUUCUUCCUCUCCUCACUAUCUUAAGCUUUGCCACACUGAACGAUUAAGAGCUUGGGUCAAAAUGAUGCAGUUAUAUAAACACUCACUAUUUCUGUCUUAUGGAAAUACUUCCCCUGUGAGUUGCUCAAUAUGCUUCUCAGCUAAGAGAAUACACCUCCUUUCUGGUCUUGCCUUAAAAAUCAUACCAUCUGGCCUAAUACCACUGACGAAUUGCUAAACCUUUUAAGAAGGACUGUUGCAUACACCAAGAGACAUGACUAUGACUAUGAUUUGAAUAGGGCCUGCAGCUUAUAACCAAGCCGGAUAUAAUGCAGAAGUGACAAACUGCAGGGGGAAGCCUGGGCAAAAUGACCUGUGUUCUUGUUCUAGGUUCAGCUCUGCCAACCUGGGUAGCACACAUUCCUUUGCUGAGCCAUUGUUUUCCCAAUAAUGAAGUCAGCUUUAAUUAUCUCUAAGGUCUCUUCUAGUUCCGUGACAUUUAAGCUUUUCAAGGAGAGCUCUCUAUAUUCCAAAAGUUAAGAACAUUACCUGAAGUAUUCACCACUGUACAGCUAGUGCCUGUAGCACUGCCUGACACAUAGCAAAUGCUUAAAAUACAUUUGCUGAAAGCAUUAACAAAGAGGUAGGCUUGCCACCACUACUGUAAAGUGAUUGUAAUUAAUUUACAGACUCAGCUUCUCUUUCUGCCUGAUAAAGAUAUUUCUUGAGUCAACAAAAAACUACUUAUUACUUAUUGGGUCAAGUAGGAGAGGUAAAAAUAAUGAAUAAAGACUGAAUUUUGAGAGGAAAGGGCCAUGGGAAUAUUUUUAGGGAACAAAUACAUGAUACAAAACAGUACUACAAUGGGUGCUUGCUUUGCUUUCAGGAUUAAUUUACAUUGUAGAAAAGUACAUGUACUCUCUUAGGAUACACAGGAGACCGACCUAGGCAGUGCUUCUCUACCCCAACACAUACUGAUAUUGGACUGAACUACAACCCUUGCACACAACUUCAGACUGUUUGCCAAAGUCCAUUGAGUGGACUGAUGGCAUCAAGAAUGAGAAAAUAAGAGAAUGAAGACAAAUGGCUUCUACUUUCUUGCUCUCUUACGUUUCCCACUGCCUUUCUCCACUUUGGUAACAUUUCCCACAUUCCAAUCCUCAACAUUCAUUCAAUCCCUAGCACGUACACAGACACACACGCACACAUACACACACACACACACACACGCGCACACACACACGUGCUCACAACACACAUACACGCACACAUACACACGUGCUCACACUCUGUUCUCCCCCCACAAUCCCUGAAAUCCAAGGGAAUGGGAGGAAGGUCAUACAUGUAUGUGCUGAUCAUGUGGGAGAAAGAGAAGAGCUGCAAAACUGAUUUUUUUUUUCUCUACCAGAAAGGAGAAUCCCGGUGAAGACCAAAGAUGAUGGAAGCUAAGAAUUUUAUCCCCAUUUUUGUCCAGCACUCUACAUUCUCUUCUCCUGACAGAUUUCCUCCCUCUCAUCUUCCUUGAGUGAGUCUUUGACUUAGACCAUCCGAAUAGUAUCAGCAGCGAAGAUUUCAGAAUGGCUUGCAGUUAGGAGAAGCCCACCUGCAUCAGGAGAGGAAGGACAAUUCUUCAAGUUUUCAUGGAGUGAAUGUCCCACAGGUGCAUCUGGUUGAUGACAGAGAGAUACAUAACCACUAUCUCCAUUCCUACAACCAAACAGUAGGCAUCCCUGCAUGAAGGGUUCUCCAAAUUUUUGUGAGCAUAAGUACAUUUUCAUUU